UUUUGACCCGACCAUUAUUCAAAGAAAGAAACAGAAGGAAGAAGGACAAUCGGGUCUUGACUUAAGACAUCCUUCCUACCCAAAUUAUGAGAGAAUCAAGUCACGGGUAUUUCAAAGGAUUGGAAGAGGUGGACUAUACCGAGUUGGAGAGUCGAGUGAGGUUCCAUCGAGGUUCCGGUCCACAACUCUGUCAUUACAUCAAAAUGAAAAUUACAAGUUAAAACAUAAAUGAAAUUAUGAAAAUCCUAUCUAUACAGCUUUUGUUGGUUCUUGACUCGACUUUCAUCACCCUAUUCUUCAGGCGGGC
rnacentral:lncRNA from 1 species